AUACCAUGGUGAGGACAGCAGAUAUAUAGUCCUGGAGGCGAUCCCAUGCCUCCGGAACUAUUUCAUAUUUAACUGCUGGAAACUAGCAAUUUUAUUCUGGAGGGC
rnacentral:snoRNA from 1 species